GAUGAACGCUAGCUACAGGCUUAACACAUGCAAGUCGAGGGGAAACGACAUCGAAAGCUUGCUUUUGAUGGGCGUCGACCGGCGCACGGGUGAGUAACGCGUAUCCAACCUGCCCACCACUUGGGGAUAACCUUGCGAAAGUAAGACUAAUACCCAAUGAUAUCUCUAGAAGACAUCUGAAAGAGAUUAAAGAUUUAUCGGUGAUGGAUGGGGAUGCGUCUGAUUAGCUUGUUGGCGGGGUAACGGCCCACCAAGGCAACGAUCAGUAGGGGUUCUGAGAGGAAGGUCCCCCACAUUUGAACUGAGACACGGUCCAAACUCCUACGCGAGGCAGCAGUGAGGAAUAUUGGGCAAUGGACGAGAGUCUGAACCAGCCAAGUAGCGUGCAGGAAGACGGCCCUAGGGGUUGUAAACUGCUUUUAUAAGGGAAUAAAGUGAGUCUCGUGAGACUUUUUGCAUGUACCUUAUGAAUAAGGACCGGCUAAUUCCGUG
rnacentral:rRNA from 1 species